UAAUACAGAGGGUGCGAACGUUGUUCGGAAUUACUGGGCAUAAAGCGCACGUAGGCGGUUCUGUAAGUGCGGAGUGAAAUCCCACGGCUCACCCGUGGAACAGCUCCGCAUACUGCAGGACUCGAGGACGGUAGGGGAGAGCGGAACUCCUGGUGGAGCGGUGAAAUGCGUAGAUAUCAGGAGGAACACCGGCGGCGAAGGCGGCUCUCUGGUCCGUUUCUGACGCUGAGGUGCGAAAGCCAGGGGAGCAAACGGGAUUAGAUACCCCGGUAGUCCUGGCCGUAAACGAUGGGCACUAGCUAGAGGACUCUCCUGUGGGUUCUCUGGCGAAGCAAAUGUGCUAAGUGCCCCGCCUGGGGAGUACGGUCGCAAGGCUG
rnacentral:rRNA from 1 species